GUGGGGAAUAUUGGACAAUGGGCGCAAGCCUGAUCCAGCCAUGCCGCGUGAGUGAUGAAGGCCCUAGGGUUGUAAAGCUCUUUCACCGGUGAAGAUAAUGACGGUAACCGGAGAAGAAGCCCCGGCUAACUUCGUGCCAGCAGCCGCGGUAAUACGAAGGGGGCUAGCGUUGUUCGGAAUUACUGGGCGUAAAGCGCACGUAGGCGGACAUUUAAGUCAGGGGGGGAAUCCCGGGUCUCAACCCCGGAACUGCCUGUGAUACUGGGUGUGUGGAGUAUGGAAGAGGUAAGUGGAAUUCCGAGGGUAGAGGUGAAGUUCGUAGAUAUUCGGAGGAACACCAGUGGCGAAGGCGGCUUACUGGUCCAUUACUGACGCUGAGGUGCGAAAGCGUGGGGAGCAAACAGGAUUAGAAACCCUAGUAGUCC
rnacentral:rRNA from 1 species